GGAUGUAUUCAGGGGCGGAUCCAGGAUUUGAACAUUGGGGGGGCCAAAACUUGUGCCGCUACAUUCAUUGUCGAUGGUACUCCUUAUCUACAACUCUAUUUGCCAUCAAACAAAAAUAUAUAUAGCUUUCACCUGCUCAACUUCACCUAUAGAGCCCAGUAAAUUCUUCACUGUUGACCAACAUAACUCGAUGUUUUUCAGGGGGUCUAUUUGUUGAUCGCAAAAUGCCUCUAUUUGGCAUCCUAUUAUCAAUAUAUACACUAUUUCCAUUCCCUGAAUUUUGUAAUAGCAGAUCUGGAGUUUGUCAAUGUUUUUCUUUGGCUUAGUUUAUCCUUUGUUGAAUGUUCAUUGUAUC